rnacentral:rRNA from 1 species
GACGAAGGUGGCGAGCGUUGUUCGGAAUCACUGGGCAUAAAGCGCACGUAGGCGGCUAGGUAAGUCGGAUGUGAAAUACCUCGGCUCAACCGAGGAACUGCGUCCGAUACUGCCUGGCUUGAGGUCCGGAGGGGAGAGUGGAAUUCCCGGUGGAGCGGUGAAAUGCGUAGAGAUCGGGAAGAACGCCGGCGGCGAAAGCGACUCUCUGGUCGGAAUCUGACGCUGAGGUGCGAAAGCUAGGGGAGCAACGGG